rnacentral:rRNA from 1 species
CUACGAGUCGCUCCAGUGAGGAAUAUUGCACAAUGGGGGGAACCCUGAUGCAGCAACGCCGCGUGGAGGAUGACGCAUUUCGGUGUGUAAACUCCUUUUAUAUGUCAAGAAAAUGACGGUAGCAUAUGAAUAAGCACCGGCUAACUCCGUGCCAGCAGCCGCGGUAAUACGGAGGGUGCAAGCGUUACUCGGAAUCACUGGGCGUAAAGGACGCGUAGGCGGGUUGGAAAGUCAGGUGUGAAAUCCUACAGCUUAACUGUGGAACUGCACUUGAAACUUCUAAUCUAGAGUAUGGGAGGGGGAGAUGGAAUUAGUGGUGUAGGGGUAAAAUCCGUAGAUAUCACUAGGAAUACCUAAAGCGAAGGCGAUCUCCUGGAACAUUACUGACGCUAAGGCGUGAAAGCGUGGGGAGCAAACAGGAUUAGAUACCCCCGUAGUC